GCACAACACAGAACAAAUGUGCUUCAUCAGUUUAUUCAGCUUUUCUUCCAAACGGGUAUUCGUCAGAGAUUUGAGCCUGGAAUAAAUGAUGUUCUGAAUGAUGGCUCAGAUGAGCCUCUCGUGACAUUGCAGAGUGCUCACUUCAGUCGCAAUACAUGAUACAUGAGACCAAGAACGCACCCUUCGACCUCCUGAGUAGUGAAACAGCUAGGUGUUGGGAGAGAAUUACCUGCCAGCAUGAGCGGUCGUCCACUUCCCCCCCGGGGCUCAACUAAUAGCUUAUGAAAGUGUGGGUGUUUGCUGUACAGGGCAUUACGACGAGAGCAGCACGUGCAUGUACAUACAAUAUUCUGACGACUGAUGUGCUAAACCGGGUCCAUGUACUCAUAAUAGUGCCUGCUAGGACCCCGCUGCAGUUCUAUUGCGUCGUGUUGGGGGAAAGGGGGUUGGCACGGGUGUUACUCGCUCCAGUAAACGUUUCCGGCACAGCUUCUCGGAUCCAUCGUGAGCUUCAUCGCACCGUCUGUGCGUUUUACCAGCUCUUGACAUGAUGGGGUAUCCAUUUAUGCAUAUAUAUAUUCAAUAGAUUUAUUUUCCGUCGUCACUGGUGCAGAUCUUCGAAGCGAAGUUGGAGGGGGGGAAAAGAAAUAGAAAAGAGAAAGCACAGGAAUAUAGGGUGAAGGCCAUGCCGGGAAAAGAAGCUCAAUAUAUACUCGUGAAUAUAUACAACCAUAUGCCUGCUACAGUAAACUGUAUAUAUAUAUCAUAAAAAGGGACCGAUCAGUUUAAGAAAAUAAGAUUCAUAAUGACUCAAGGAUGUUACAUAAAAUAUAUAUAACUAGUUAGUUAAGAUAGUUCCGAGGAAAAUGGGGUUAUGUGUGGUAUUUUUGCAACGCCUCUCCACAUAUAUCCUAUAUUAUCUAUUGUAACCAGAUUCAACGCCUGUGUAUGUUAUGAUGACGAUUAUGAUGAUGGUGGAAAAUGAAAGGG
rnacentral:sRNA from 1 species